CACCAGGUUUUCAUCAAAACUACCAAAAAAAUCAAUAAAAUGGUAG
rfam:Picea glauca, whole genome shotgun sequence.